GACGACCUCAGAGCAGGCGAGACUACCCGCUGAAUUUAAGCAUAUUACUAAGCGGAGGAAAAGAAACUGACAAGGAUUUCCUUAGUAGCGGCGAGCGAACAGGAAUUAGCCCAGCACUGAAUCCCGCGGUUCUGCCGUUGGGAAAUGUAGUGUUCGGGAGGGUUCGUUUUAUCCCGCGGCGUCGGACCGCGUCCAAGUCCAUCUUGAAUGGGGCCAUUUACCCGUAGAGGGUGCCAGGCCCGUAGAGACCGGGACGCGCCGUGGGUGAACCUCUCCUUAGAGUCGGGUUGCUUGAGAGUGCAGCUCUAAGUUGGUGGUAAACUCCAUCUAAGGCUAAAUAUG
rnacentral:rRNA from 1 species